UCAGACGAUGCGUCAUGCAUAUCAAUAAGCGGAGGAAAAGAAACUAACUAGGAUUCCCUCAGUAGCGGCGAGUGAAGCGGGAAGAGCUCAAAUUUGAAAUCUUCAAGGGUUCUACCUUUACGAAUUGUAGUUUAAAGAAGUGUUUUCUGUUAGAGUUUUGGUAAAAGUUCUUUGGAAUAGGACAUCAUAGAGGGUGAGAAUCCCGUAUUUGACCGUUAUUUCUAGCUUUGUGAUACACUUUCAAAGAGUUGGAUUGUUUGGGAAUGCAGUCCAAAAUGGGUGGUAAAUUUCAUCUAAAGCUAAGUAUUGGCGAGAGACCGAUAGCGAACAAGUACCGUGAGGGAAAGAUGAAAAGAACUUUGAAAAGAGAGUUAAACAGUACGUGAAAUUGUCAAAAGGGAAGCGUUUGACACCAGUGUUGUUUUCUCGAAAAUCAAUUAAAAAAGGCAGGAUUUUGUGUUGUAUUGACUUUAUCAGCUUUCUGCACUCUUUUCUUGUCUUUUUUUAAUGCACUUUUCGUUUAACAAGUCAACAUCAAUUUCUUUUGUUGUAAAAGGGUCAUUGGAAGGUGGCUUUCUUUUCGGAGAAAGUGUUUAUAGCCUUUGGCCUCUGCAAUCGGAGAGAUUGAGGUCUGCAGCGUAGAUCCUUCGGGGUUAGAUACAUUUGUGCUAAGUUAUAGCCUUUCAUAGACAACUUGUUGACUAUGAUCAGUCAUGUAGCUUACUCGCUUAUGCUAUUUUACCUACGCUUAGGAUGUUGAUCUACAGAGCGAGAGU
rnacentral:rRNA from 1 species